GACGAACGCUGGCGGCGUGCUUAACACAUGCAAGUCGAGCGGAAAGGCUCCUUCGGGGGUACUCGAGCGGCGAACGGGUGAGUAACACGUGAGUAAUCUGCCCUUGGCUUUGGGAUAACUACCGGAAACGGUGGCUAAUACCGGAUACGACCACUCCUUGCAUGAGGUGGUGGUGGAAAGUUUUUCGGUCCAGGGAUGUGCUCGCGGCCUAUCAGCUUGUUGGUGGGGUAAUGGCCUACCAAGGCUUCGACGGGUAGCCGGCCUGAGAGGGUGACCGGCCACACUGGGACUGAGACACGGCCCAGACUCCUACGGGAGGCAGCAUGGGGAAGUAUUGGACAAUAGGCGGGAAGGACCUCGAUCCACGCAACCGACCGCCGUCGAGGGAGUGACGGCC
rnacentral:rRNA from 1 species